GAAAGAAUAGCGCCUCUUUCGAUCC
rnacentral:piRNA from 1 species